rnacentral:rRNA from 1 species
AAAACGACUCUCGGYAACGGAUAUCUCGGCUCUCGCAUCGAUGAAGAACGUAGCGAAAUGCGAUACUUGGUGUGAAUUGCAGAAUCCCGUGAAUCAUCGAGUCUUUGAACGCAAGUUGCGCCCGACGCCAUUCGGCCGAGGGCACGUCUGCCUGGGUGUCAC